AUCCAGCUGAUGAGUUUCAAAUAGGACGUGACGCGUGUCAAACUGGAU
rfam:Schistosoma curassoni strain Dakar, Senegal genome assembly, scaffold: SCTD_scaffold0000617